UCAAGCAGAUCUUCAGCAGAAACGCCAAUGAUCUCUUGUGCAUUUUUAUCAAAGAUCAGAAAAUUGGUGUCACCAGUGCUAUCCAUAACUCCCACGUUUAAAAGGUACCUUCAUAUAAAAAGAUUUUCAUACAAAGUUAGAUAGAUAGUUAUUAACUAACAUAAUAGCUAUAUAAUCAAAUGGGAAAUUGUUACCUUGGAACCACCUUAGGAGUGUCUUCCUUACAUGUUGGACACCAAAACAUUUCUUUCUUACCUUUUUUGGCAAUCUCAUUUUCCACUUUUGGUAUCUUAUAGGCAGUUUUGUGACACUUCAGACAACAAAAGAAAUACCACGAGUAGUCUGUGUCGAUCUUCAUUAUGGUAACAAUUAUGUUGCAUUUCCCAAUCUAUACAUAAUAAUAGAGAAUUAGUAUUUUAAACAUAAUUAUUACUAAUAGAGGCAAUUAGUAUUAAUCACAACUAUUACCUCAGAAAAACAAAAGAGUCCAGAGAUGGUUUUCCUUGGAAAACGAUCAUAGUAUUCCUUUUUUUUCAUCAGUUGAUUCCCAUGUUUUGGCUUAACUUCUUGGAUAGCCAGAGGCAUAGCAUCAGGGGGUAAACUACAUGACAAUUAAAAAAAAAAAUCAACUUAUCAUAAUAUCAAUAGGAUAUACAAUCUAAUUAUUUUCAAAAGCAAUAUUAAGUUUGCCCCUAUCUUACUUGGCCACAAAUUCAAGAACAGCAGGGUAGGUAGCAUUGAUUUCCAACAGAGACAUGUCAAAUGCAUUUGAAACUGAUCUUUCACCUAACAAAAUGAGUACUAUUAGUAUAAAUAUAUUCUGUGAUCUGCCUUUAAAAAUCCCAAAAAUGUUUUAUCAAAAACGUUUUAUACCUUUGAAUGAAUUGAUCUUAGCAAGACGAAGUAAGGCAAUCACCCUCUCAGUGCCUGCAUUUUGACAUGCAUUCCACAUUGCCUCAGCAAAUCUCCCCCAAAGAGUACAUUUCAGCCGUUCAUCACUAUAUAAGAAAAUAAGUUGUGAGAUAAUUGUAAGUACAAAUAACAUAAGAUAUAUUAUAAUAGGGUAAAGCCAUAUGAAAUUACUUUGUGUCUCUGAGUUCAAGAUCAAGUUUCUUUGUGAUUUUGUUGUUAACAUCAUGAGUUUUCAUCUCAUUGAAACUAACAACCUGUCCAAGUACAUCUACAAAAUUAAGAAAUUAAUAUUUGGUUUUUGAUGAAUAUCUAUUAUUAAAAUAUGCAAAGAAUAAUAACUAAAAAUAAAAAGAAAAAUAUAUUACCAAUUAAGAUGUUUUCAUUCAAUCCUCCUUCAUCCAAAACAUCUUGAAAGUUUGCCAGAUCCAAAUAAAUGUCAUUAGAAAGAGGAGGAGUUCGAGUUAUUACAGUUUUUUGCAUCAUGGACAUUUUGAAACCAUGUUUAGUUGCACGGUAUUUUCCUGUUGACUUGGCUAGUGUAAAUUUCUCGAUAAUACGCCACUCCCCAGAGGUAAUGAACCUUUGCAGUUUGUUCAAUUGUUGCUUCUUAAUGGUAGCAUGGAUCAAAGUACCCUGAAUAUUGAAAAAUAAGUCAUGUUAAACAUACAAAACUAUGGUGUAUAUAUGAUACACGAUUAUUUGUAUAUAAGAAUGAUAUAGUUACUUACAGAGGUAUCAGCAAGAAUCAUUUCGACGGUUUCUCCAGUGUAUUGAGUGUAUUGAGUCCAAGAAUGGACAAUUUUAACUUGAAUUCUCCAUUCUGUUUUGAAAGGUUUGACAUCAGCAAGGGUGGUGAAUGCUAGCUCAGCUGCCAUUUUCUUAGUGGGAUUGUGUAGAGAAAGAGUGAAAGCUUGAGAAGGUGAGUUUAACAUAACAUUGGAUCAUAUAUUUAUACUAAUCGAAAUACGGCUAUAAUUUUCUAGGUUUUAGAGAAUUAUCGGGGAAGAGGAUAAAUGCGAAUAGAAUAUUUUAGGUAUAUAAUUGAUAUUAUGCUAUUUUUUGGGUAUGAUUUAGAACAAAUAUGGAUUUGAAAAGAUUUUAUGAUUUUAAAUAUAAAAAAAAAGGAAGUUAAUUGUUUUCGUUUAUAUGGAAAGAUUUUUUCAGCACAAGGAAAUUAUUUAAUUGCAUUUUAAUUGAUAGCAUCCCGGAGAUUUUGUGAUGAUUUAGAAAUUAUAUGGAGUUGUUUGGAUUUGGAAAAUUUUUGUAUCUUUGAUUAUGCAAAAUUUAAGUUGUGAUUGAUAUGGAAAUAGAUUUGAUUACGUGUUAUAAUAUUAGAAUAAGUUUAUCCUUAAUCGGGUUGAUUACGUGAUUACGGAAUAUUUUUGAAUAGGGUUGUUAUAUAGAAUAAAUGAUUUUCCGAAUUUUAAGUUGUGCUUGAUAUAAAAAUAGAUUUAUUUACGUGUUAUCUAACUAAUUUUCUGUUUAAUGUUUGUAGAUAUGUUACAUAAGGCCUGAUAUUAACAAUGGGCCAAUUAACAUAAAGCCCAGUUGUGUUUUACCGCAGAUGUAUCAGCGAUCCGUCUCAUUUACCAGAUAGAUAUCCGAUUCAAUCUCCAAGAUCCGCGUCCUUUUGAGUCCCAAUUGUCAAUUAUACCCCUCGACGAAAUUCUGUGUUUUCACUUGAAAUACUAAAAUUCUAAUGGCAUCUAUUGUAAUUAUUUACCCUUAGUGAGGUUAGAUAUUAUGUAAUCCUUCCCAAUUAAUAGAAUAGAU
rnacentral:lncRNA from 1 species